UCAUCUUUGGUAAGUAAGUAUAUGAUUUCGAUGUACUCACGGAGGAGAACACAAAUCAACUUUCAUCUUUCAAAUUGAACAACCGGGUCCCACUCCAAACUUGUGCCAAAGUCGGCCUAUGACUUUUUUUUUUCUCAACAAUACUGUAGUCUGUAGCUAAUUCAAAAUGUUUUUAUCAUAAUUUUACUAGCUGGAGCUUGUGGUUUUGGUGGAUAUGGGACGUUUGUCAACAAUGGUGAAAUCACUGGAGUCUCUAGGCUUUACAGGAAUGGAAUUGGUUGCGGUGCUUGCUAUCAGGGAAGGUGCAGAAUCCCAACACAUUGCAGCGAGGAAGAAGCGAAGGUAGUGGUAACGAAUUAUGGCGAGGGAGACCGUACAUACUUCAUACUGUGUACACGAGCGUACGCAAAAUUGCCUUGAUCCAACAUGGCUACAGAACUAUUUGCAUACGGCGUAGUUGACAUCGAAUUCAAAAGAAUUCCAUGUCGUUAUGGCUAUAAUCUCUUUCUAAAAGUCCAUGAGCAUAGCAAAUACCCUCAGUACUUGGUCGUAGUGCCAUUGUAUAAAGAGGGAACGUAUGAUAUCAUCGCGGUUGAAAUAUGACAGGAGGAUCGCAAGGAAUGGAGGCCAAUGUAAAGAGUCUUUAGAACAGUAUUCGACCAUCAGAACCCACCACCGGGGCCUCUCAACUUUAGACUUCAGGUGGUGGCCGAGGGCAGCGUGGAAAUGAAGUGGGUGCAAUUAACCAGUGCCAUUCCAGUGAUUGAAAGGCUGGAAUUGCUUAUGACACUGCUUUUCAGCUUAACUAAUUAAGCUCCAAGCACGAAUGUGUAACUUGAAUACUUAAUAUUUCUAGUGUUUACUUGAUAUGUUUGUAGCAGUGCUUUGGAUAAUGCUCGGUGAAGGACUCUCUUCACUUUAUUUGUAACUCGUGUUUAGUAUUGAUAUGAAUAAAA